CCUACGGGAGGCAGCAGUAGGGAAUCUUCCACAAUGGGCGAAAGCCUGAUGGAGCAACGCCGCGUGGGUGAAGAAGGUCUUCGGAUCGUAAAACCCUGUUGUUCGAGCAGAAAGUGCGUGAAAGUAACUGUUCACGUUUCGACGGUAUCUAACCAGAAAGCCACGGCUAACUACGCGCCAGCAGCCGCGGUAAUACGUAGGUGGCAAACGUUCUCCGUAUUUAUUGGGGGUAAAGGGAACGCAGGCGGUCUUUUAAGUCUGAUGGGAAAGCCUUGGGCUUAACCGGAGUAGUGCAUUGGAAACGGGGCGACUUGAGUGCAGAAGAGGAGAGUGGAACUCCAUGUGUAGCGGUGAAAUGCGUAGAUAUAUGGAAGAACACCAGUGGCGAAAGCGGCUCUCUGGUCUGUAACUGACGCUGAGGUUCGAAAGCGUGGGUAGCAAACAGGAUUAGAUACCCUUGUAGGC
rnacentral:rRNA from 1 species